ensembl:lncRNA
UUUUGGUAGGACUACAUCUCAUUUAACUGAAAAUUUAGCAUCAAAGUUGAAACAUGCUUCAAGUUUAAAACAGCCACAUUUCUGAACUCUUUAAAAAGGCCACAUACUUCAUCUAACAUACACACACUGUUUAUACACAGAUGAUAUCUCAAUAGAUGUGAUGCGGACUGAAAAAUGCUUUAAUCAUCUUCUAGAAUAUAUUGGCUCAGAUAAAGCACUUGAUCUCGGCUGCUUGCGCUCUUCUGCAUGUGGCUACUCGGGAGUGAAGGUUCACAGACCACUUAGUUCCGGACGGCUCUGCUCUAGAGCAGUCCGUGUGGCUCUCCUCCCACUGACGGCCGACACAGGAGGCAGUUCAUGCUGGGUGUGACCCACGACAACAGACGGCUCCACGUACGGUAAAGCAAAAAGCCUUACUGACGCAAGGGGCCUAUCCAUUAUUUCAUUUGCCACGCAAACCUAGUGAACCGGGCUAUCCAUCUUUAUAAGCUAAAGUUUUCUUAAUGAUAAAAGGCAGAUUAGACUGCCAUCUUUUUUUUGGCUUUUUAGGGCCAUACCUGCGGCACAUGGAUGCUCCCAGGCUAGGGGCUGAAUCAAUCAGAGCUGCAGCUACCAGCCUACGCCACAGGCACAUUAGAUCCAAGCCACAUCUGUGACCCACACGGACGCACAUGGCAACGCUGGAUCCUUAACCGAUAGAGCAAGGCCAGGGAUCAAACCCAUGUCCUCAUGGAUGCUAGUCGGGUUCUUAGCCUUCUGAGCCACCAUGGGAAUUCCUUCCCUAUUCCAGCCAGACUACGGCCACCCCUGAUACAAAAGUCUUUAGGCUCCUGCUACCUUAUCUCAUCUCUACUCCCCUAAAAACAAAACCGUGCCAACUUAUCAGACUAGAACGCUCGGAUUACAGGGUGACUCAACUCAGAUAAUAAGCCAAAUUGGUGAACUUCAGCAACUCACAGCUCUUCAUUUUUUCCUGAGGGUUUGCCAGUAUUCAACUCAGGUCUACUUCUCUUCUUUCUGACCCCCUGGGUGCUGGGAUGAAAUAAGGGAAUGAGUUCCUUCUGCAAACAUCCUCACAAUCCUUCUUCCUAAAUAGGUGUGGUGUUGGAUGUCUAUGACCCACUGUAUUUGGACAAUGGCCCAGCAGGCUUGUGGGCUACCAGGGAACUCUCCCACCCAAGCCCCAGCCCUAGAGAGCCUACACAUGGCGGGCAGGUCGUUCUCUGAUGAGGACACUGACCACAGUACGAAAACUGCCACUGCUGCCCAAACCAGCAUCUCUUGUGAACUUAAGCCAAAGCAAAACAGAACAGUAACUGGCCUCACUUCAGGGCACGCUUGGUUUACCAGCAGUGCACCCAAUUCAAUUUACACCCUCAUGGAAUUCAAAGCACCAGGGCUGUGCAGAAAGAUGCCUUUAUGUGGUUCAGAAAUGCAUCACCCAAGACAGGUGGUAGGAUUCAUAACCAACGUGCUUAACAUGUGAAAUGAAAGGACAGAGAAAAUUUUAUAGUUGCUUUAUUUAACAAAAUUUACGCCAACGUCUCUAUCUAUAUACAUACGUGUUUCAGAAUCAGAGCAGCAGACACACAAACUGUUCACGCAGGACUUAGAAUAAUGCUUCUAACAUUAUGCAGUGUUUUCCGCUCAUACUGACAUUUACAGAUUCAGAAAUUAUUCCCAAGGCUGAGCAGCAUCACAUCUUCAUUUUCUGGGAUGGCUUGUACAGUGUGUCCUAAAGAAAGAGGGAUGGAACUUCGGAGGGUGAAAACGUUGUGUUUGGAUUAUUAGUUCACCAAAGAGCACUGGGCCUGUAAGAGGGGCUCCCAAAAUGCUGUGGCCUGGGGAUACAAAUCUGAGUGAAACAGAAUCCGAGUCUACCGUAAAAAAGAUUGUUCACGCCGCCAUACCGUAAGUAUAACAAGAUCGUCUCAUUUCGGAGCCCCCAGAGGAAGAAAAUCUACUUUAGAGAGUAAGUUGAAACGGAUGUGAAUAGUAAGUACUCUGAAUGUGGGUAGAAGGCGUACAGAUACUCAGGUCGGGUCUGCCCCCGCCUCCUCCCGUCUGGUUAGGAAUGAUGUGUUCGUUUCCUGACAGUAACCUACAUGACACGCUCCUUUCUGAAGGUCUUUACAGAUACAGGGAAGACGGAUGGCCAUUUUUGCCUUCUCGUGUUACGAUUUCCAGGCGCCCUCAAUUUCUUACAAGGUGCUGUGGGUCUGAAGAUCUCCAAAAGCUCAGGUCCACAGCCUGUUCACGACAUGUAGCUCUGCACAAGGACAUGAGCCGAGUUUUGGGUAAUACUUCAAAAAGAGUUGCUGCUGCUGCAAAGUGUAAAUACGUCACUGGACACUCAACGCCGACCUGACUCUCGGUCACCUUUCCCGGCCCGACGGGAAAGCUGCUGCUGCGCAGUGAGGUAGAGAAGGAGGAGGAGAAAGCGUACACCUCAGCCCUUCCUCCUCCUCUCAUCGGCUUAAGAGCCUUCUUUCAUGCUGGGGCGGGGGGGGGGCAAGAGGUCUAGGGACAGACCUCGAGAAUGCCCUCCUUUCCGUCGUGAGGCCGGGCACACGGCCCAUUUCCCCGCAGCGCCAACCAGAACUGCACGGGGACUAAGCACGGUACUGCGACAACCCGCAGCGGCUCCUGCUCCCACUUCUUCCCGUAAAUCAGACCCCUCGCUUACUGUGCUUUCAUUUUCUAAAAAUGAGAUCAGACCAUUAUAAAAACGUACUUCCAAAAUAAAUUAUUUCUAGAGUAUAAAAAUGUUUUAUAUUUUUCCACCCCACAAUUACAAGUUCAUUAUAAAAUAGGAAAUCAGAAAAUUAGCUACUGUAGUUUUCAUAGGGUAAAAAAUAUUUAUAUGUGUACACACACAUACACAUAUAAAAAACCCCCAAGUUUUACAUUUCCGUAAGGACUAACGAAAUGUUAACGGUGAUGGGCUGAACUACACACAAGCCGUAGUGAUGAUCUGUAAUGAGAACCAACCACACAGAAUUACAAGCUGAAGAACCAGGAUAAUCUGACUUUCUCAAGUGGAAAAAAAAACAACAACGAAAAACCAGGAAUUCUCCAUCUGACUCCCCAACACAGCAGAGAAGCUCACGCGUGCCUUUUUCAGCUGCAACAACCCCCGGCUUCUUUCAGGGCACUCAGUUCUGAGGAAGCAGGCCUGACAAGGAGGAAAACACGAGAGGUGGGGCUGCCCCUGCUGGGUGGGCAGGUGAGGGCUAAGGUCCAGCCAGCCACCUGCCCGAGAUGUCGCCGCGGGGCAGAGCGCCCGCUUUCUCUACUGCACACAGAGGAGUGGCUCCCCAGGCGGGGUGUGCGGCAGGCAGGGAAGCUGAGGCAGGCAGAGGCUGAGAUCAACUAGUGGCUGAAAACCAGGGACUGCCUUCCUCCAGCCUGAACGAAGAGGGUGGGAGGGCUACACUUUGCUCAUUCCUGCCUCUUUUUAGGAUUCGCACAAGGGAACACUUUAAGGGGCCUCAAGCAAAGAAAAGGGAUGGGUGAGAGGGGACGCUGUCAUUCCACAGGAGGGAGCAGGACUCGACCUGGGGCCGAGUCUGUGAUGCGCUGGGACGGAAGCGGGGUGAGCGGCCUCUGCCGCGUCUGGGUAGAGUCCCACGUGGAAGCUGGCAGGUGCGCUAGAGCCACAGCUGCUUCGCAAUCCUAGCCUGAACUGCCUCCCUGGACUUGACCAUGUAGUCAGAAGCCUGUCCAGUUCAUCUUAAAACUGGCUACUUCCUUGGCUUUUGCGUGAGCGGUGGGGGCACAUGGAGACAAUUUUAGAUAUUUUCCCUCUGUGACCAUUUUUUUCUUUCCCUUUUCCCUUUCUUUUUUAGGCAGCUUCCCUCCCCAACUGUCAUAAAUCAAGAUACUUAAAAAGAAAGCAAAAGCUUGAAAAUGUUCCUUUCUUCCCCUAACACCUGCUGUUGUAGUACAUUCAGACCGACCUUGGGACUCCUUCUUUAAAAGGGUCAACGAAAGCACAACCCCCCGUGCUACAGAGAGCAUGGAGGAACACCGAAGGGUGGGUGAAGGAUUUGUAAAAAACGGCCCCUUUUUUAUAAUGAAAUUUAAGAUAACCAACAAAGUAGAAAAUAUUUCCAUUAUGUACCAAAUAUUCAAAAGAUGAGUUAUUGCCAAAAAGAAGUGGAUGUGCUCACCAGGACAUGGGUUUAAUUCUCCAGGAGCAUUUGGUUAUAUAAGGAGCAUGUGUAAACUGCUCUAAACCUGCUCCUCUGGAUGGAUUAGAAAAGAUGUUUAUUUACUCAGAAAAAGGGCGCUGGUCAAAGAAAAGUCUCAGCUCCCCACCGAAAAUCUGCUCAGAGUUCCACUCCCCCCAGAGAAAGGCAUGUCCGUGAACUUGUGCGUCGUCCUCAGGGGCUCAGACUCCUUCAGGGGCCUGGUCUCCAGGCUCAGGUU